CCAGCUCCAAUAGCGUAUAUUUAAGUUGUUGCAGUUAAAAAGCUCGUAGUUGGAUUUCGGGUGGGGUGGUGCGGUCCUUGGUCUGUGGGACCGGAGUAAUGAUUAAGAGGGGUAGUCGGGGGCAUUCGUAUUCCGUUGUCAGAGGUGAAAUUCUUGGAUUUACGGAAGACGAACAUCUGCGAAAGCAUUUGCCAAGGAUACUUUCA
rnacentral:rRNA from 1 species